rnacentral:rRNA from 1 species
AAAAAAGGUAAGCUACUAAGAGCGAAUGGUGGAUGCCUUGACUGGUAAAGGCGAUGAAGGACGUACUAGACUGCGAUAAGCUACGGGGAGCUGUCAAGAAGCUUUGAUCCGUAGAUUUCCGAAUGGGGCAACCCAAUGUAUAGAGAUAUACAUUACCUAUAUAGGAGCGAACGAGGGGAAUUGAAACAUCUUAGUACCCUCAGGAAAAGAAAUCAAUAGAGAUUGCGUCAGUAGCGGCGAGCGAAAGCGCAAGAGGGCAAACCCAGUGCUUGCACUGGGGGUUGUAGGACUGUAAUGUGCAAGAGGUGAGUUUAGCAGAACAUUCUGGAAAGUAUAGCCAUAGAGGGUGAUAGUCCCGUAUGCGAAAAACAAACCUUAGCUAGCAGUAUCCUGAGUAGGGCGGGACACGAGAAAUCCUGUCUGAAGCUGGGUCGACCACGAUCCAACCCUAAAUACUAAUACCAGAUCGAUAGUGCACAAGUACCGUGAGGGAAAGGUGAAAAGAACUGAGGUGAUCAGAGUGAAAUAGAACCUGAAACCAUUUGCUUACAAUCAUUCAGAGCCCUAUGUAGCAAUACAGGGUGAUGGACUGCCUUUUGCAUAAUGAGCCUGCGAGUUGUGGUGUCUGGCAAGGUUAAGCAAACGCGAAGCCGUAGCGAAAGCGAGUCUGAAUAGGGCGCUUAGUCAGAUGCUGCAGACCCGAAACGAAGUGAUCUAUCCAUGAGCAAGUUGAAGCUAGUGUAAGAACUAGUGGAGGACUGAACCCAUAGGCGUUGAAAAGCCCCGGGAUGACUUGUGGAUAGGGGUGAAAGGCCAAUCAAACUUCGUGAUAGCUGGUUCUCUCCGAAAUAUAUUUAGGUAUAGCGUUGUGUCGUAAUAUAAGGGGGUAGAGCACUGAAUGGGCUAGGGCAUACACCAAUGUACCAAACCCUAUCAAACUCCGAAUACCUUAUAUGUAAUCACAGCAGUCAGGCGGCGAGUGAUAAAAUCCGUCGUCAAGAGGGAAACAACCCAGACUACCAGCUAAGGUCCCUAAAUCUUACUUAAGUGGAAAACGAUGUGAAGUUACUUAAACAACCAGGAGGUUGGCUUAGAAGCAGCCAUCCUUUAAAGAAAGCGUAAUAGCUCACUGGUCUAGUGAUUUUGCGCGGAAAAUAUAACGGGGCUAAAGUAAGUACCGAAGCUGUAGACUUGCGCACAACUUAGAUUAUUUAAGUUUAGAAUAUGAGAAACUAAGUUAUAUGUUUAGUUAUAUUUUUACUGAUUUUUAUAGAGUAAAGAUAGAAAUAAAACUUAGUAAAAUCAGUAAAAAUAUUCUUAGACUAAAGUUAAGUAGUUUAAGUUGUGUGCAAGUGGUAGGAGAGCGUUCUAUUUGCGUCGAAGGUAUACCGGUAAGGAGUGCUGGAGCGAAUAGAAGUGAGCAUGCAGGCAUGAGUAGCGAUAAUUAAUGUGAGAAUCAUUAACGCCGUAAACCCAAGGUUUCCUACGCGAUGCUCGUCAUCGUAGGGUUAGUCGGGUCCUAAGUCGAGUCCGAAAGGGGUAGACGAUGGCAAAUUGGUUAAUAUUCCAAUACCAACAUUAGUGUGCGAUGGAAGGACGCUUAGGGCUAAGGGGGCUAGCGGAUGGAAGUGCUAGUCUAAGGUCGUAGGAGGUUAUACAGGCAAAUCCGUAUAACAAUACUCCGAGAACUGAAAGGCUUUUUGAAGUCUUCGGAUGGAUAGAAGAACCCCUGAUGCCGUCGAGCCAAGAAAAGUUUCUAAGUUUAGCUAAUGUUGCCCGUACCGUAAACCGACACAGGUGGGUGGGAUGAGUAUUCUAAGGCGCGUGGAAGAACUCUCUUUAAGGAACUCUGCAAAAUAGCACCGUAUCUUCGGUAUAAGGUGUGGUUCGCUUCGUAUUAGGAUUUACUCCGAAAGCGAAGAAACUUACAACAAAGAGUCCCUCCCGACUGUUUACCAAAAACACAGCACUCUGCUAACUCGUAAGAGGAUGUAUAGGGUGUGACGCCUGCCCGGUGCUCGAAGGUUAAUUGAUGGGGUUAGCAUUAGCGAAGCUCUUGAUCGAAGCCCGAGUAAACGGCGGCCGUAACUAUAACGGUCCUAAGGUAGCGAAAUUCCUUGUCGGUUAAAUACCGACCUGCAUGAAUGGCGUAACGAGAUGGGAGCUGUCUCAAAGAGGGAUCCAGUGAAAUUGUAGUGGAGGUGAAAAUUCCUCCUACCCGCGGCAAGACGGAAAGACCCCGUGGACCUU